CCUACGGGUGGCAGCAGUGGGGAAUAUUGGACAAUGGGGGGAACCCUGAUCCAGCCAUGCCGCGUGUGUGAAGAAGGCCCUCGGGUUGUAAAGCACUUUCAGUGAGGAAGAACGCCUGGUGGUUAAUACCCAUCAGGAAAGACAUCACUCACAGAAGAAGCACCGGCUAACUCCGUGCCAGCAGCCGCGGUAAUACGGAGGGUGCGAGCGUUAAUCGGAAUUACUGGGCGUAAAGCGCGCGUAGGUGGCUUGAUAAGCCGGUUGUGAAAGCCCCGGGCUCAACCUGGGAACGGCAUCCGGAACUGUCAAGCUAGAGUGCAGGAGAGGAAGGUAGAAUUCCCGGUGUAGCGGUGAAAUGCGUAGAGAUCGGGAGGAAUACCAGUGGCGAAGGCGGCCUUCUGGACUGACACUGACACUGAGGUGCGAAAGCGUGGGAAGCAAACAGGAUUAGAUACCCUUGUAGUC
rnacentral:rRNA from 1 species